rnacentral:lncRNA from 1 species
CCUGCACUGGCCUUGCCUAGAAGGAGCAAGUGUGACCUCACAGGAGUGGGUGAGCUUUGGAACCUUCAAAUCAGGGCUCCACUGGGCCCAUCCUCCCAUGAUUUAAGCCCCGAUCUCCUCAUCUGUGAAUUGGGACUCUUAAAUGUAAAUGAUCUCAUUGGGUGGUUGGGAGGAUUGGAUGGGACCAUAAACACUGCUGAGCAUGUUGUCCAAGAGGCAGCCUUCCAGAAAAGGUCCAUUUGGGCGUACCCUCCUGUACUUAGUGGACUGCCACCAGAAGUCUGGGGACCGAAAUCCGACAUUACCAUACCCAUUCCACGUCUGGCAGGCUAAAGAACGUUGAAGAUGGAUUUGAAAUUGAAGCCUCAACCCUUUUUGAAACUGGGUCUCUCUAAUUUGCUAAAUUGCAUAGGCUGGGAUUGAAGUUGUGAUCAUUUUGGCUUAGCCUCCCAGAGUUCUGGGAUUAUAAGCAGGCACCAUAAUAUCUAGUUUCUUCUCUAGAAUUCUUAGGGAAGUUUGUACAAAGAUCAACAGGCAAAUGGGAAGUCAGUUUUGUCAUUUUACAAAAUAAAGUGUUUCCCAUACCCCAAGGCAGAGUGGGAGUGCUGGUAACAACUCACCUAAAGAAUAAGUGAGGGGUCUGGUCUUAGUUACUUUCUCCCUUGCUGGGACAAAAUAUCUGAUACGUACAGCUCGAGGAAGGAGAAUGUUAUUUUUGACUCACAGUUUGUAGAGGUUCUAAUCCAUAGCUGGCUGGUUCCAGGACAGAGCAGGAGGGCAGAGGGACAAGGCAGAGGAGAAACAGCUCAUGGCAUGGUGGCAGGAAACAGAGAGAGAAAUCAAGGGAGGAGAGAGGGAGAGAGACCAUGUGCCUGACAACCCAUCUCCUCCUACCAGGCUCUACCUCUCAGCAUGACAUUUAGCCCUAAACGCAUCAGUGGACUUACCCAUUGAUGAGCAUUGUACCACCACGAUCCCAUCAACUCCCAGUGACGAUGUAGAUAUGAUGAGUGUAUGAAGCCUCGGGGUGGGCAUCUAGAUCUAAAUUACAACUGGCC